UACGAAGGGGGCUAGCGUUGCUCGGAAUCACUGGGCGUAAAGGGUGCGUAGGCGGGUCUUUAAGUCAGGGGUGAAAUCCUGGAGCUCAACUCCAGACUGCCUUUGAUACUGAGGAUCUUGAGUUCGGGAGAGGUGAGUGGAACUGCGAGUGUAGAGGUGAAAUUCGUAGAUAUUCGCAAGAACACCAGUGGCGAAGGCGGCUCACUGGCCCGAUACUGACGCUGAGGCACGAAAGCGUGGGGGAGCCAGA
rnacentral:rRNA from 1 species